GGACACUUAGGAUCACCCCAUGGAACGGUCAGGAGCAGCAUUCCCAAGAAUAAAGGUUAGAAGUCACAAUCCCAAAAGGGACCUGAAACCCUGCAAGCAGCAAGUGGAAGAGAUCUGAAAAGUGGGGCAAGAGCCGAGUAAAAACAGGCCGCAAAGAAGAUGAAUAUGCCAACGCUUUUCUGGUGCCUUCUGGCUGGGAUUUCAUGGGAAGUGAUGGGGGUCUCUUAAUGUAUGUGACAGGUAGGAUUUGCUUUUCUUUCUACCCGUCGACAAUGGGAUAAUGCUUAAGCAGAGAUGUGAGUGACACUGGAAAUAUAAGGGCCAUGUAAUUCUGUAGGCAUUUGUUUAUUCUUUCUCAGCCAAGUCAGCUCUUAGCCAAAUUCUCUUGCUCAAGAACCUGGAUUUAUACCUGGUUUAUACCUGGUAUUUCCUUCCCAGGGAUGAUUUUCAUUGAGAAUGUAAUGUGUUUCCUAAAAAGAAUUCGAUUGUAUAUUGGUUGUACUUAAAUGUAGAACAGCUGUCUUCUGUUUAGAUUUCCACACAUAAAUCUUUAUCUUUAGUGCAUGUGUGUGUUUGUGUGUGUGUGUGAGAGAGAGAGAGAGAGAAUAUGAAUGAGAGAUGAAAAUGUAGGUACUGACCUAAGCUAGAAAGACCUGGGUUUCCAGUUCUUGCCCCACCUCUUGUUAGAUGUGGGUAUUUGUGUGGUAGAGAUCAGCCAGCUGUUCACCAAAACCUGCUUCUGCUUCCUCCUGGCACACAGAUGAUAUUUUUGAGCCUCCUGUGCAGUUACAUAUUGCCAUGUGAUUAAACUUUGACCCACAGAAUGUACAUGGAAGUGAUGUGUACUUCCAUCCCUCACCCACAGAAACUUUUCUCUAUCCUCCAUGUUCUUUCUCCUUGUUGACUGUUAAUAGCCAGAGAAAGACUUUGGACGUUGUGGGUUAAGAUGAGAGCCACUGACAGGCUGGGUCCCUGAAGACACAGCCUCGCAACUCCACCCCACCACAGACUAGUUUUGACAUGAAUAAGAAAGGAACUACCAGUGUGUUAAGCCCCUGUGACUGUGGGUGUCUGUUAUAGCAGCUCACACCGCUAAAACAUGAGGUCUACCCUCUUCAGUUUCUAUAGCUGAAAGGUAGAAUUUGCUUUUUGAAAAGCUCCACUUAAUCCCCUUGAGAUCAAAAUGUGAUGUGUGUAAAAAUACUUUCUUUAUUCUGUGUUCUUCCCCAUGCAUUUUUACUCAGUUGCAGUAAUGGUUUAAAUAUAAUUUUAUAUUUAGCUCUUUUUCACUUAACACACCACAAGCAUUUUUCCACAUCGCCACAGUCUUCCUAAUUAUAAAUGUUAAUGACUGCUUAAUAUUCCAUCGAGCUGAUGUCCCAUAAUUGUCUAAAACGAGUGUGAGAUGCUGCUGUUAUACCCUGCUUUGAGAAAAUCCAACUUAUCAAAACCGUUAAAUCAGGGGGGUAGCUACUAAAGUGAAAGAAAUUUUUACUCAUCAAAAGAAUUCUCUGCAAGGGACUUUUAAAUACCGAGUUCCCCUUGUGUUUCUUUAAGUAUAAUUUAAAUUACAAAAAUGUAAUACACCCUCAGCCACCUACUAUGCAAAGCAAGAUACUUGUAUUUAAUAUAUACAAAUUUUGACAUGUGCAUUCAGUAGCUGCUGGUUGCAGAGAAUCCCAGCUUCCCUAAAGCAGACCUGAUCCAGGUGACCUUUCCUGAGUGUUGGACCUCCUCCACUUGCCAUGGUCUAACCAGGCUCUGAAGACCAUGGUGGGGGUGGGGUGAGAGGUUGCAUUCAUGGGCGCUCACACUUAUAUUGCAUCCAUUGUUUUUGCACAUGCCCACAUUUUAAAAAUCGUGUCUUAACUGCAAAAACAAUAUAACAGCAAUAAUAGAAUAAGAGAAAUGGAAAAAAUCACUCAGAAUUUUUUCACAGUGACAGUAGAUGUGCUGCUUCAAUAUACUUUGUUUACCUUGCCCAUAUGCACACAUAAUUUGCCUAGCUGUUUUCAUCUGUGUUCAGUUUGUUUCCUCCUUCCAUCAUGUAACCCUAUACAUUGUCACAUUUUUUCAUAGUCUCAAUAUUAGUACAAAACUCCUGUACUAGCUCAACUCUCACCAUUGGAGUAGUCACUAUAACAACUUGCAGAAACUUUUAACACAGCAUUCGCCAUCUUGAUCAAAAUUGCAACAUGGGUUUUUAUGUGUGUACUGGCAAAAAUUUAGGUUUUGUAUGGAUUCAGAUCAGAGGAUCAGAGCAUGUUCAACUGUAUCCCGGCUGAGAUCACACUGCAUGUCAUUUAAACGGGUGUGUUAUCACUAAUGUCCAAUCCAUCUCAUGUUAUUGUCUUCCAAGAGAGGUCCCUUAGCAUGUAGUUACAUUGUUUAUGUACAUUACCAUACAUGUUUAAUAUGGCAUAGAAGGAAAACAUAAGUUGUAUCCACUACUAUACAGUCUCAUGUACUGUAACAAAUACACCCAUGAGUGCUCAUUCAUUGUUAAAUAAUUAUAAUCAGUGUUUUAAAUCUUUUACAUUAUGUACAAAAUACUUGUGGCAUUGACCUCAGGCUCACAACAACCUGGUUCCCCUCAUAGAAAGCACACUGCCAGACUUCCCUGGUGGUGCAGUGGUUAGGAAUCCGCCUGCCAAUGCAAGGGA